UUCAAAUCUUCAUUUUCAAGGUUGAAAGGUUUUUGGUUGAUUUUCAUGCCUCUAAGCUCAUCCAGGUUUUAAUGGUAUUUCGGGACUACUUGGAUUAAGACCUUAUUGGUGCUAGUUUUGUCAAGUGAGUGAAUUGCAUUUCAAAAUCAUUUUGGG